CGUAAAAUACCGGGAGGCGACACGAGAUGCACAACCGCGUCGGAUGAUUGCCUCAGCUCGGGCACGAGUGCUGAGACCUCACGCGCUGCAUGGCGAGGGACUUCCCAUGAGGUCAAAGCGGCGCAGGUCAUGCAAAAGGACGCGUUCGCUGUUUGGUCCAAAAAAUUUGAAAACUCAAUAAAAUUAUCCUGCACACAACGAAUCCAGUGUCAGCAGUUCGUUUUGUUUUUCUAAGUAAUAAUACUUUGUGCCUUGGCCUUCGAAGUAAAGGAUGAUGGAGCUUGACAGAGAUGACUGCCAAAGUGAUGAGUCCACCGUGGAAGAUGUAGAUGACGCCACGUAUUCACUUGGUGACCUGAGUUGUGGGGAUGUUCAGCUGUGGGCUACAGAUCGAUGUAAGAGUGGUAGUGCCAUCAUGGUGUACAGGCCUAUGGAAGGUGCAGUGAUCCAUGGAAUUUGCAAACUGCUGACAAUGAGACAGGCGAGUGUUACUGAGGCGACGGAGUCAUUCCUGCAUGUUAUUAUGACACGGUUACACAAGGCAUCAGGUACUGCAAAUCUGCUACGCCAGGAAGUGUGCCAGCUGAGUGAAGGCAUGCAAGGGUGCUGAUAUUUCGCAAGCAUGGCAACAAAUGCUGUCCGUCAUCGCAACAGCUAUUCCCGAAGUGAAAAUCAAUUGUGAAGAUUUGGAAGUUACAUCUGCAGUGCUAGCGAAUCUGAUAAGCUACCUGCAUGCCACGGCUGCCGCUGCUAUCAGGAAAGCGUCAAUAGCACCAUCCAAAGCUGCUGAAGCCAUCCCCGAACCGGUGAUUGACAAUUUGUCUCACCUUGCUGAAAAGUACCAUGGUGGUUGGUGCUUGGUGGCCGUGCGGCGUGAGCUGGAAGGAGCAAGGUGUCGCAACGACAACUUGCUGCAGCUUAUACCUUUAUUUGGCAAGGAU